CGAAAAAGUUCUUUAUACUGAGAUUGAUCGAAAGUUAGAGCUUGGUGUGAUAGAACCUUUAAACAGUUCUUGGAGCUCACAAAUUCCAAUAAAGUGAGACUUUGCUUGGAUGCGCAAAAAUUAAAUGAUGCCACUUAAAAAGAUGCGUCCCCCUUACAAAGCAUCGAUGGAAUUUUCUCUUGCUUGCCGAAGGCCAAUAUAAUUAGUAAAUUGGACCUGAAGGAUGCCUAUUGGCAGAUACAGUUAACAGAAGAGGCAAAACCACUCACGGCUUUCACAGUGCCGGGUCGAACUCUUUUUCAGUUCGCCGUUAUGUAAUUCGGUUUAUAUAACGCACCAUCCACUAUGUGUCGUCUAAUGGAUGAUUUAAUUCCUGCUGAUCUGCGUCACUGUGUAUUUGGAUAUUUAGAUGACUUAUGAAUAGUUACCGAAGACUUUGAAUCUCAUUUGCCUGUACUGAAUCGAAUUGCAGAGCAGUUCCGAAAGGCAAUCUUAACAAUAAACAUUAGUAAGAUCCAUUUCUGUGUGACCAAAGUUAACUAUUCAGUAUACAUCAUUCGCCCGAUCCUCGUAAUAUAAAGCAUCUCCGAGGAUUUUUAAGUGUAUGCGGCUGGUAUCGCCGUUUUAUUUUCAAUUUUGUUGACUUAACUUUUCAAAAAGUAAGUAACUUGUCAAAAAGUAAGACCCUUAAACCAGAAGCACAGGAUGUUAUGGAUGCAUUAAAGCGGAAGCUUACCUCUGCUCCGGUACUCCAUAAUCCUGACUUUACGCAAAAAUUCUUUCUCCAUUGCGAUGCGAGUGACUAUGGCAUUGGAGCAGCUUUAGUUCAAGUGUCCGAAUCAGGAAAUGAAAUGCCAAUAGCGUUUAUAUCGAAGAAACUUUCCAAGUUACAACGAAAGUAUAGUGUCACGGAACGUUAGCGCUUGGCAGUAAUAUUGUCAAUCGAAAAAUUCCGUUUCUAUCUCGAGUUGCAAGAAUUUGAGGUAAAAACCGAUUACUCCAGCCUAGUUUGCUGAUGAGGCAACAAAAUGUAUCAGGUCGUCUUGCCAGAUGGAUUUUUCGGUUACAAGGAUUUCAAUUUACCAUAUCUCAUUGAAAAGGGAAGGAUCAUAUCGUGCCAGAUGCCUCAUCGACGAUAUGUUAAGAAAACAUUGAAAGUCUAGAAUUUGUAGGUCCUGAAAUAGAUUUAGACUCUGAUGCUCUUAAUGAGCAAGACUAUGUAGAACUCCGAAAUCGAAUAGUAGAAAAUCUCGAUAAAUUUUCGGAUUUACGAGUCCAUGGUAAAUUCGUAUACAUACGAACUGACCAUCCAAAAGGGAAUAUAGAACAAGAAGCCGAUAGUUGGAAACUCUGGGUCCCAGAAAAGCUGAGAGCUGCUGCUAUUUGGCAGGCCCAUGAUAGUGUCGUUUCUGCACAUGGAGAAAUACAAAAGACUGUUGAAAGACUACGACGAAAUCUUUUUUGGCCAGGAUUGUCGAAAGAAGUUCGCAAUUAUAUAAAUAAGUGUGAAAUGUGUAAACAGACAAGGGACCCGACAAAAUUUUACGAACGCCCAUGGGAGAGCAGAUUGUAUCAACCAGACCCUAAACCUAGAUCAUUUCAGCCGAUAUCAUUGGCUCUGUCCACUUAAAAAAUUCACUACUUUAGCCAUAAUACCUUUUUAUGCAAACGAAUAUUUGGUGAAUUUUGAGUACCAGAGACACUAAUUAGUGACAACGCAUCCCAGUUUAAGGCGAAAGAAUUCGAGGCAAUGUUAGCCAAAUGGGGUAUUCGUCAUGUUUGUACCGCUCUUUAUUCACCGCAAAGUAAUGCGGCGAAAGAGUCAAUCGUUCUUUAUUGUCAGCCAUACGAUCAUAUCUGCGAGAAGAUCAAACAGACUGGGAUUUGAACUUAACAAGUAUCUCGUCUGCGCUUUGGUCGGCUUUGCAUCAGUCCUUAGGUUGUUCUCCAUAUAAAGCUCUGCUUGGCUUCAACAUGAUUAACGAUGGGACCGAUUAUAAGCUCUUGAAACAAUUAUCUCUACUAGAGGAACAUACUCGCUUGAAUAGAGUGGGCCAAUUAGCAUUAUUACGGAAAGACAUAAAAUAGAAUAACGAAUGUUAAGCAAUACAACCUAAGACCUAACCCUGUUGUAUAUAGAGAAGGACAAGAAGUCUUUAAGCGAAACUUUCACUUAAGCAAUUUUAGUCAGAAUUACAAUAAGAAGUUAGGCCAUCAAUUUUCAAAGUGUAGAACUAAAAAGAAAUUAGGUAAUGCGUUUUAUCUAUUACAAACGUUAACAGAAAAAGAAAUCGGAACACAUCACGCAAAAGAUAACCGAAGCUAAUUCCAGCUAAUCCGUCUGCGAUUACUCGUCGGAUUAUCUGUGGUUGUAAUGGUUGGCCUUGGAGAAAAUUAAUUAAAGUUCAAAAGAAUAUUUAAAAUUACGGCUUACGCGCCCUACGAUAUUCAAACUCCUUCUCCAGACCUAGUUGAUAACAAUCAGGCGAUCAAGGUUGCCAUCUGAUCCUCGCAAUCGAUUUAUCGAUUAUAAAAAACUAUCUUUUCCGACCCAAGCCGCGUGUGUCCCGAAAAAGUGCAUAGAAACUUUAGAAAAAUCUAACGGCAUCCGCGACCUAAUCAGCUAAUUUAGCUAACAGGCGCACACCCGCCAAUCCCGAGCUAAAAGUACGAAGGCCCAAUACCGCGUGCUAUCACGGCUGGCUGCUCCGGCAUUGCCUUACAUAAAGGCCUUAGGAUUAAAUUCAACUAUAUCAGUCAAACAUAGGGCAGCUCUACCUCCCAUUUUCAUCAUCGGUAAAUAGUUUCCAUAUAGUGAAAACUUUCGGUCUCUUAAAAACACCAUUUCUUACAAUCGGCCCCGUUCAAGCCUUACAAAAGGGCUAGCAACAACCCUUUCGACCCAGCAGCUAUUUUUAGCGUGGUCGCAGCAACACAAUUCAAGCUUUAACUUCGUCGCCUGUUGUUGUUAUCCUACCCGCGCUAUUCAAGGCGGCUGAGCAGCGCGAAGGUAAGAUCAACGUCCACAACUGCGACGAGGGAGGAAUCUUCGCCAGGCCAGGAUCGACAGAUACUUAAAAACCAAGAUAAACCCCUUUGCCAUUUGACUAAAAUUUUAUUUUUAUUAAAGCUUUUAGGCUAGUGUUGGCGCUUUUGUUGAAAAAGAAAUAUUAAAGUUAAAGUUUUUCUGAGCACAUUCUUUUCUCCUCUGCCACGAAAAUGUAAACAAUUAUAAAUAUGUAGACGCAGAACGCAUAGAAUGCGGAGAAGUUGAAGAGAGACAUAUUAAAUGCGAGGAUAAAAACAAAAA